CCCGGGUGGACUGGUACCCCGACGUCGUGCGUUCGCGCCGACGAAGGGGGAAACCCCCGGUGUCCUGGCUGCCCUGCGACGGUCGUGCAGCAGAGGAGCAAUGCUACUCUCUCUCGCGGCGUGCAAAAGGUCGGUGACCCACCCGACCCGUCUUGAAACACGGACCAAGGAGUCUAACAUGUGUGCGAGUCAUUGGGCGCACUAAACCCAGAGGCGAAAUGAAAGUGAAAGGAGGGCCCGUCCUCCGGGGCCGAUCCCCGACCGGCUGUUGCCGCCGUGGUUCCCAUUCCAAAGCGAGGUACCAAGGGGGCCGGGCCGGGUGAGUUACUUUCCCCGGUCCGCCUCUGGCCUCGUGGGUCCCCGGCGCGCACGACGGUCCGUCCCCUUCGCGGGGGGCGCUUGUACGCAGGGGGGCGCAGGCCCGGGACUUGCCAUUCGACGCCGCGCGCAAAUCUGUUGUUGGCCUCGCCGGCUUUGCUUGGGCUCUCGG
rnacentral:rRNA from 1 species